GCCAGCAUGGUAUAGUGAUUCAAUUGUUAGAUUACAACUCUGGAGACCAGGGUUCAAAUCCCUGCUCAGGCA